GUGGGUAUAGCUCAGUGGUAGAGCACAUGCUUAACAUGCAUGAGGUCCUGGGUUCAAUCUCUAGUACCUCCA
rnacentral:tRNA from 1 species